CCCUAAUCACUCCUGACAAACGAAUCGAAGAACAGAAGAAGAAGAAGAAAAAAAACGAGAGACGAAAGAAGAGUGAUUAGGGUUUCAGAAUGCUCUUUUUGUUUUUUCGUUUGUGUGGUGUUGUAGCGUAUCACCGACGCACGCUCCUGAGAAGCAAAUCCCUAUAGAGAGAGCCGUCUUCUUCUAUUCUUCCCCUGACGACGUUCGUCUGAUUAAUCUUAAUGUCUCCUUCACCGACUAACAACAAGGCUUGGCCAAUCAAAGACGCUCUCGAUCACAAACAUAUAUGGUCGCUUUUAAUUGUAAGUCUUGUCCCUCUUUCUUUUGUCUUGAUUGAUGUAUAGAUAGAGCCGUCUUCUUCUAUAUAUUCUCCGACGGCGUUGCUUAAUCGUAGUGUCUUCUUCGAUGGUAAACUAAUUCCUCCUCUGUUCUGAACCCUAAUCUCUCGUUUUUUUUUUCCGUCUGUGGUGUAGCGAAAACUUGUACUGACUUCUCUGUUUCGUUUUGUAGACUUAAACUGGAGGUUCAUCACAAACAAGUCUUGGGAAAUCAAAGACGCUCUCGUUCACAAACAUUAUAGCUUUAUUUGCAAGUCUUCUCUCUGUUUUGUCUUGAUUUAUAGUAUUGAAUAAUAUUUUCUUUUGAUCUGAGUUAUGUGACAACAGGAGGGAGAAUUCAGGGGAGAUCUAAAAAACGGCAACUCAAGAAGCUCUUUCAUGUGUCCAGUUCAAUGUACAGGGUGUGUGGAUCCACUCUUCAUUGCUGCUGCCUCUGGUGCUUAAGGUCAAAGUUUCAGAGAUCAUCAAUGGACUCCCCACUCACACGGCUUGGCGGAACCAAAGGCACACUCUCGAUGGCAAACAUGGUAGCUGUUACUGAGGGACAAUUCAGGGGAGAUCUUUAAAGGGCAACUCAAGAAGCUCUUUCAUGUGUCCAGUAACUGGACUCCAGUUCCAUGUACAAUUGAUGUGAAUCCACCCUUGAUUGGUGCUUAAUAUCAAAGUUUCAGAGAUCAAAGGACUCCCACUCCCACGGCUUGGGGAACCAGAGGUACACUAUCGAUGGCAAACAUGGUAGCUUGAACUGAUGGAGAAUUUAGGGGAAAUCUAAAACCGACAACUAAAGAAGCUCUUACAUGUGUCCAGUUCCAAGUAUAGAUGAUGUGGAUCCACCCUUGAUUGAUGCUGCCUCUGGUGUUUAAUAUCAAAAUUUCAGAGAUCAUCAAAACUGACAAUGUAAUGCGUGUAUGGUCAAUGUCAAACAUGGUUGCAUUGAGAACCAAAGGCACACUCUCGAUGGCAAACAUGGUAGCUGUUACUGAUGGAGAAUUCAGGGGAGAUUUUGAAACGGCAACUCAAGAAGCUCUUUCAUGUGUCCAGUUGCAGAUACAGUUGAUGUGGAUCCACCCUUGAUUGCUGCUGCCUCUGGUGCUUAAUAUCAAUGUUUGAGAGAUCAUCAGAGAUCAUCAAAAGUGACAGAGUAUUGCGUGUAUGGUCAAUGGCAAACAUGGUAGCUUGAACUGAGGGAGAAUUCGGGGGAGAUUUCUUUCAUGUGUCCAGUCAUGCGACAACAGGAGGGAGAAUUCAUGGGGGAUCUUAAAAUGGCAACUCAAGAAGCUACUUCAUGUGUCCAGUUCCAGAUACAGUUGAUGUGGAUCCACCCUUGAUCGCUCACAGGCCUUGGGGACCAAAAGACACUCUCGAUGGCAAACAUAAUAGCUCUAACUGAGGGAGAAUUCAGGGGAGAUCUAAAAAAACUGCAACUCAAGAAGCUCUUUCAUUUCAGAGAUCAUCAAAGUGACGGUGUAAUGCGUGUAUGGUCAAUAAUGAAACCAAAGGAUUCCUCGUUGCAAGCGUAGUAUUGCUAUUAGACAAGCAGCUGAUAUACGAUGACCAAGUGACAAUGUAAUGCGUGUAUGGUCAAUGCAAACAUGAUAUAGCUUGGAGAACCAAAGGCACUCUCUCGAUGGCAAACAUGGUAGCUGUUACUGAUGGAGAAUUCAGGGGAGAUCUAAAAAACUGAAACUCAAGAAGUUCUUUCAUGUGUCCAGCUCCAGGUGAAAGUGGUGUGGAUCCACCUUUGAUUGCUGCUGCCUCUGGUGCUUAAUAUCAAUGUUUGAGAGAUAAUCAAAAGGACUUCCACUCGCACAGCUUGGGGAACCAAAGUCACACUCUCGAUGGCAAACAUGGUAGCUGUUACUGAGGGACAAUUCAGUGGAGAUCUUAAAACGGCAACUUAAGAAUCUCAUUUAUAUGUCCAGUUCCAGGUACAGUUGAUAUGGAUCCACCCUUGAGUGCUGCUUAAUAUCAAAGUUUCAGAGAUCAUCAAAAGGGACAGUGUAAUGCGCGUAUGGUCAAUGGCAAACAUGGUAGCUUGGAGAACCAAAGGCACACUCUCUGCAAAAUAUGCUAGUUGUUACUGAUGGAGAAUUUAGAGGAAAUCUAAAAACAGCAACUCAAAAAGCUCUUUCAUGUGUCCAUCUCCAGGUGGAAUUGGUGUGGAUCCAUCCUUGAUUGCUGCUUCUUCUGGUGCUUAAUAUCAAAGUUUCAGAGAUCAUCAAAAGGGACAGUGUAAUGCGUGUAUGGUCAAUGGCAAGCAUGGUAGCUUGUACUGAGGGAGAAUUCAUGGGAGAUCUAAAACCAGCAACUCAAGAAGCUCUUUCAUGUGUCCAGUUUCAGGUGUAGUUGAUGUGGAUCCACUCUUGAUUGCUGCUGCCUCUGGUGCUUAAUAUCAAAGUUUCAGAGAUCAUCAAAAGGACUCCCACUCACACGGCUUGGCGGAAGCAAAGGCACACUCUCGAUGGCAAACAUGGUAGCUUGAACUAAGGGAGAAUUCAGGGGAGAUCUAAAACCGGCAGCUCAAGAAGCUCUUCAUGUGUCCAGUUCCAGGUCCAUUUGAUGUGGAUCCACCCUUGAUUGCUGCUGCCUCUGUGCCUAAUAUCAAAGUUUCAGAGAUCAUCAAAAGUGACAGUGUAAUGCGUGUAUGGUCAAUGGCAAACAUGGUAGCUUGAACUGAGGGAGAUUUCAGGGGAGAUCUAUUGUAACGGCAACUCAAGAAGCUUUUCAUGUGUCUAGUUCCACCCUUGAUUGUUGCUGCCUCUGGUGCUUAAUAUCAGAAGUUCAGAGAUCGAGUGACAGUGUUAUGCGUGUAUGGUCAAUAAUGAAACGAUGGGUUCCGGGUUGCAAGCGUAGUUUGUCUCUUGGACAAUCAGAUAGGCCAUUGGAUAAAAUCUCUCUCCCUGCCUCUGUGAUGGUGAAAUCAUGCUCUGGUACUGGAUUCUGGAUUAUCUGCUGAUUAUAUUGCCAAGUUUGAACUUGAUUUGAGUUAUGUGACAACAGGAGGGAGAAUUCAAGGGAGAUCUAAAAAAGGCAACACAAGAAGCUAUUUCACGAGUCCAGGGAAUUCAAGGGAGAUCUAAAAAACGGCAACACAAGAAGCUAAUUCACGAGUCCAGUUCCAGGUGCAGUUGAUGUGGAUCCUGGAUCCACUCUUGAUUGCUGCUGCCUCUGGUGCUUAAUAUCAAAGAUUCAGAGAUCAUCAAAAGGGACAGUGUAAUGCGUGUAUGGUCAAUGUCAAACAUGGUAGCUUGGAGAACCAAAGACACACUCUCGAUGGUAAACAUGGUAGCUGUUACUGAUGGAGAAUUCAGGGGAGAUCUUGAAACGGCAACUCAAGAAGCUCCUUCAUGUGUCCAGUUGCAGAUACAGUUGAUGUGGAUCCACCCUUGAUUGCUGCUGCCUUAGGUGCUUAAUAUCAAAGUUUGAGAGAUCAUCAGAGAUCAUCAAAAGUGACAGUGUAAUGCGUGUAUGGUCAAUGGCAAACAUGGUAGCUUGAAGUGAGGGAGAAUUCAGGGGAGAUCUAAAACCGGAAACUCAAGAAGCUCAUUUAUAUGUCCAGUUACAGGUACAGUUGAUGUGGAUCCACCCUUGAUUGCUGGAGCUUCUGGGGCUUAAUAUCAAAGUUUCAGAGAUAAUCGAAAGUGACAGUGUAAUGCGUGUAUACAUAAUGGCAAACAUGGUGGCUUGGAGAACCAAAGGCACACUCUCGAUGGCAAACAUGGUAGCUCAGGGAGAAUUCAUGGGAGAUCUUAAAACGAAGCUCUUUCAUUUGUCCAGUUCCAGGUACAGUUAAUGUGGAUCCAUCCUUGAUUGCUGCUGCCACUGGUGCUUAAUAUCAAAGUUCCAGAGAUCAUCGAAAGGACUCCCACUCACACGGCUUGGGGACCAAAAGACACUCUCGAUGGCAAACAUGGUAGCUUUAACUGAAAAAUUCAGGGGAGAUCUAAAAAAAACUGCAACUCAAGAAGCUCUUUCAUCUCAGAGAUCAUCAAAGUGACGGUGUAAUGCGUGUAUGGUCAAUAAUGAAACCGUAGUGUUGCUAUUGGACAAGCAGAUAGGCCAUUGGAUCAAAUCUCUCUCCCUGCCUCUGACAUGGUGAAAACAUGCUCUGUUACUGGAUUCUGGAUUUAUCAGCUGAUAUAUGGCCAAGUCUGAACUUGCUGAAUCUGCCUGGCUCAGGACUUCCAUGUACACGGCUUGGUCAACCAAAGACACUCCCUCGAUGACAAACUUUCCAGGUAAAGUUGAUGUGGAUCCACCCUGCCUUGAUUGCUGCCUCUGGUGCCUAAUAUCAAAGUUUCAGAGAUCAUCAAAAGUGAUAGUGUAAUGCCUGUAUGGUCAAUAAUGAAACCUAAGGGUUUCUUAUCAAUGGAAUUGACACAUGGGGGCGCCUACUCUUCCUAUUAAGAGAAUGUGGUUGAUUUUUAUUCUCCCAACAUUGCAUGUUGGUCAUCUUAGAUCACCUAUCAUCGGUGACACGAUUACUCAAUGAAGGUUGAAGUUCUACGCAUAGGACAUGUUUGUUACUAGGGAACACAUGUUAGCUACUUUUCUACUUUUUUAGGCUGGCAUGCUAAUGGAGGAAUUUCCUUGUUCAGCUAGAGCUAGUGCGGGUGUGACAACAAUUGGACAUUUUCAGAAAACCAGGAUGGGUUCCAGCCAAUUAUUUUUUAGGUGUAUUCCUUGGAGGAGAUUGGCAAGCGGUUUAGAAGUCUGUAUACUGAUACAGUCCGCCUAAGUUCUCCUAAUGCUGUCAUUAAUUCUCAAAUAUUUUGGCUUGACUUUUCCAGAUGAAGAUAAUGCCACCAGACGAAGUUGAAAGCAAACAGAAGAAUAAAGCUGAGGAUGAUGAUGGAACGAGCAUUCCGGUUCACUCUGCCUUCACUCUGCCUUGUUCAGCUAGAACUAGUGCGCGUGUGACAACAAUUAAACAUUUUCAGAAUCCUUGCGCAGCUAGAAGACGAUGUAGUCCCUUGUGAAUCACAGAUGGAGAAUUGGAAAACAAAUUUGGAAGUAAUGGCAGUGAAGGAGGAACAAUACAUACAUCAGUACAAGAAGUAUGAG